rnacentral:lncRNA from 1 species
AUGGGUACUGUCAGCAUGGUGGUGUGUGUUGCUGUGAUCUUCAGUCUGGUCUCAGUGAGUCAGACGGCUCCUUCUUCUAAAGCCUGUGAGUCUUUCCUGAAACCCCUAGAAAUGAAGAACAUAGACCAGACGAUGGGGAACUGGUCCUUGGUGGCCUUGAGUAACGACCGACCAGGUGCCAGGACAUGGAAUGAACUCUUCACCGAAAACAUCUGGUGGCACUUUUCCCCAGGGAGUUCCAGCAACAUUCUGAAUGUCACAAUAUACAUGAAAAUAGUGGAAGAAUGUUACAGUAAAAAUGUCAACCCUUCUUUUGAAAACAACACGUUCAACUUGCCAUACAUUUCCCCUUCCACCGCGGUCCUGCUGCCCACCUGCCACGACUGUAUGGUGACCCUGGUUAAAACCACCACCAAUGGAAACGUCUACACUACCCUGAAACUACUCAGUAAGAGACGGGUGCUCACCGAUGCUGAACUGCUUCAUUUUGAUACACAAAUUGAAUGUCUCAAACUGCCACCUCGAUACACGGUCAGCACUGAAGAAGAGCUCUGUCCAGACACCUCUAAACCAUUUCCAGACAUGGAUGACUUGCAGAAGUCUGUAAUGGAAUUCAUGGAGAUAGAUGCAGUCAAGAAUAUAUUGAGAAAAACAGACCAUUUCUUUGAGAAGAACAGCGCAGCUGUGAUAAACUUUAUUGAACGUUUAGGUGAAUUACUUGAUAAACUGUCAGACUGGAUCAUUUCUUUCCUGUAGGUUUCAAACCAACCCUAAAAUUACUUACCUGAUUCAGCUAGCCAAUGUCUUUAUGACCUGCCAGUGUGUACAAUCAGGUGUGUUCAAUUGCAUGUCAUCUUUAAGAACCAUUUUAUCUUUGAAUCUGGCCACAAACGAUUCUACUAAUAUAAAAUUAAAGGCAUUAUACCAACCCAGUCUCUUCUGUUUGUUGCCUUUAAAAGGAUUGCAAGACUUGUAAGACUGAAAGUGUGUAUCUUGUUGCCAGAAGCUAAACAAGCACUUCAUUGGACAAGCAUUCCAUUUGUCCCUAAAAUUAAUUAUUUCUACGUACUGUUUGUCAAAUGUAGACAGAUUAUUGGGUCUUCCACUGCAUGACAUUUAAAAGAUAUAACUUUUGGCAAGUUAAUAGUAAUACUAUCUACUGUAUAGAACAAAAUAAAGUGCAACCAAAAGACACUUC